UAUGUACAUGCCUACACUGUUAAUGCAUCAGAUCCCAUUAAGAACUCCAUAGUUAAGCACGCUUGUGAUAGAGUAGUACUAGGAUGGGUGAUCACUUGAGAAGUCCUAGUGUUUUACAUGC
rnacentral:rRNA from 1 species